rnacentral:rRNA from 1 species
CGGGGUGAGUAACGCGUGGGUAACCUACCCUGUACACACGGAUAACAUACCGAAAGAUAUGCUAAUACAGGAUAAUAUAUUUGAGAGGCAUCUCUUGAAUAUCAAAGGUGAGCCAGUACAGGAUGGACCCGCGUCUGAUUAGCUAGUUGGUAAGGUAACGGCUUACCAAGGCGACGAUCAGUAGCCGACCUGAGAGGGUGAUCGGCCACAUUGGAACUGAGACACGGUCCAA